rnacentral:rRNA from 1 species
UGAGGAAUAUUGCACAAUGGGCGAAGCCUGAUGCAGCAACGCCGCGUGAGGGACGAAGGCCUUCGGGUCGUAAACCUCUUUUCUGGGGGACGAGUAAGGACGGUACUCCAGGAAUAAGUCUCGGCUAACUACGUGCCAGCAGCCGCGGUAAAACGUAGGAGGCGAGCGCUAUCCGGAUUUACUGGGCGUAAAGCGUACGCAGGUGGCUUCGCUAGUCGGACAUGAAAGCUCCUGGCUUAACUGGGAGAGGUUGUUCGAUACUGCGGGGCUUGAGGUUGGGAGAGGGACGUGGAAUUCCCGGUGUAGUGGUGGAAUGCGUAGAUAUCGGGAGGAACACCAGUGGCGCAAGCGGCGUCCUGGCCCACACCUGACGCUGAGGUACGAAAGCGUGGGUAGCAAACAG